rnacentral:rRNA from 1 species
GACGAACGCUGGCGGCGUGCUUAACACAUGCAAGUCGAACGGAAAGGCCCUGCUUUUGUGGGGUGCUCGAGUGGCGAACGGGUGAGUAACACGUGAGUAACCUGCCCUUGACUUUGGGAUAACUUCAGGAAACUGGGGCUAAUACCGGAUAGGAGCUCCUGCUGCAUGGUGGGGGUUGGAAAGUUUCGGCGGUUGGGGAUGGACUCGCGGCUUAUCAGCUUGUUGGUGGGGUAGUGGCUUACCAAGGCUUUGACGGGUAGCCGGCCUGAGAGGGUGACCGGCCACAUUGGGACUGAGAUACGGCCCAGACUCCUACGGGAGGCAGCAGCGGGGAAUAUUGCACAAUGGGCGGAAGCCUGAUGCAGCAACGCCGCGUGCGGGAUGACGGCCUUCGGGUUGUAAACCGCUUUCGCCUGUGACGAAGCGUGAGCGACGGUAAUGGGUAAAGAAGCACCGGCUAACUACGUG